rnacentral:misc_RNA from 1 species
UACCAGCAAAUACUACUCAUUGCUCACCAAUCACCAUCAUAUGGCUGCUGGUUUUUCGUCGGAGGCGACAGCAUCAAACGGAGAUUCUUCGCGAGCAGACUCAUCCUUCACAUCGUCUGGAUCGCGGUCGGGGUCGGACUUGUCCAUGGCCGCACGAGCCUUGUCCAGAAAGGGCUUGAAAGCCAUCUCAAUCGCCAGCCAUCCGAAUGCUAGAGCUCCAAAAACGACUAUCGCUUGUUUCAUCGGCUUGGUUCCCAUCUUCAAAUGGUCUCUCUAUUCCGCCGCUUCGUCCACCUCCUGCACUUCUUUUUCUAGCUUUUGACGCAAGAACGCUUACACAGUUGCGCCCCACUUUAGGAAGUGGGCCGCGAAUUUAUAUAUGCCAUGGGGUACCGAUAACAUAGAACCCGCGCC